AGCUCCUGAAAGAGAGAUGAUGUAAGAUGACCACUUCUCUCUCUACAAGUUAGCUCCAACACCCUUCAGGAACUCUAAAAUGCAGUGCUUCUGCUUCAGGCUUCCUUUACACCAACAAGUUCAAUUUCAAGUUCUGGUCCUGAUCUUCAGAGUAAUCCUGAUGCCUUGACUCUUGCUUCAGCACCCUCUGUCCUUGCCACCGUGGCCAUGGCCAACGCAGCUGUGAACGCCUGGUGCAGGGGAAGAGAUGCCCCAGCAGCCACCAGGAGCUACGACACUCCUUCCAGGAGAAACCACAUAAAAAUAUGUCUCUUGCUGCUUUCUGAGCGAAGUACUGAGAGAAAAAUAACUCACAGGACAGUGGUAUUUGAGAUAAAAACUGCCUCAGUUGCUCUGAAACCAGCCAGUCUAGAGAGUGGGAAGCAGCCAGGCCCCCACAGCUUCUGAACCCCGCCCAAGUACCUUAAUCCUGAUUACAAAACCUGAUUGUUUCUGAUACCUAAGUCAGCUGGCUGAAUACCUGAAGGAAAACCAGGUAAAUUCAGCUGCCUAAACAUAGGCUUCUAAUGUCCUUUGAGAUGUCCUAAACUAACCCACUUGGCCUUCAGCAGCAGCUCAGAGAGGUGUGAAUCUACAACUCCUCUGACAUACCUACUGCGUGGAUAUGGUAGGACAGCAAGGCAUCUCUGGGGCACUGCUUGGCACCUGCAGGUAGGCACUUGUUUAGGCAGAUGAAUUGCACUUCUAGAUUCCUCAGCAGGCUAUUCAAAGAAUUUAACUUCAGGCGCCUAAUUUUGAUGACUAACUUCGGUUUCUUAGUUAAGAGCCUGCAUCUCUCCUUUCCCUAUACAAAAAACCUGCAUUCUUCAUAUAUGCACCUCAAUUCAGCUGGCAUAAGUACUGUAUUGCUUCAAAAAAAAAAGUGUGUGUUAGUCUUGUGAUUGAGCAAAGAAGCGGCUGUAAGAAGCCAAAUUGAUAAAAAUUGCCAGCAGCUCCCUGCUGCUUAAGGACCUGUUUCUGUGCUGCAGUACGUUAUUAGGGAAACUUCCAAGGCUAGAUCAGAACAUACUCAGAAAACAAACAAGAACAAGCACUUUAGUGCCAGGUUUGUGGCACUUCAGCUCCCCAGGUUUGCACUCCUAUCAGUCUUAAAAAGUUUCUGCAGUGUUUUGGCAACAUGGUACAUUUCUCAUUUGAAAUACGCUGCUUAAUGCAAGGCUAGUAAACAGCUUGAAUAGGCAGGGCUUUGAUUUAUGAACUGCAUCAAUAUGGUAAUGAGCACGUUGGCUGGGCAAUUAGUUUUAAAUUGUAUAGGCUCACAACAGCUCCUGUUAUUAUGACUACAAAGGUUUGUCAGAGUACCUCUGAGUUCAGUAUUUCAGAAUCCUCUGGUGACUUUAUGCCUAUUAGACCAGAACUGAAGCAAAUUAAAGCCUCUGCUACACCUUCUGAAUCUAAUACACUAAACCAUGUGUAUGAAAAUAUCAGCAGUGAAUAGAUUAAAUAGAUGCAUCCAUUUAAAAUGCUACUAUGCAUGCUUUUUUUUUUCCAGUCCAAGAUGGGCUUUGAUCUCCAGCAAUGUCUUUAUCACCCUCUCUAAUCAGUGUCUGUAAUGAAUGCUAAAGUAAUGGUGACCCUGCAAUAAAUGUCAAUUACUACAAAGGCCGUGCUGCAGGGCAGCCCCUCCUCUCAAGACGUGCUGGGUCCGUGAGAUAUAAAUGGGCAGCAAGGGAGGACUGUGUCAGCUGCAAUGAAGAUCAGUUAUUUCAGAGGGAGCAAAAGUUAUUUUAGAGGAACCUCCUGUGAUCCCUAUCUCUCUGUGCAGAAAGGCCAAAAUGAAUCUUGCUCAAACAGUUUUGGUCAAGCAACACUUUUUGAUACAAGGACUCCUCCUCCAAAACCUCCAUCUAUUUUUGAUGGAUAACCCAUGCUUUUUUUAAAUCAAAAAAACAAACAAACAAACAAACAAGAAUAUUUAUGUGGGGAGAUAUUUCCCCCUUUGAUUAAUUUUCAAAGCUUUCAGAAGAAAGAAGUGUUCGAGCAUAAAGUGCUCAGAUGAAUACUUCAGUAUUUUCAGCCUUUCUAUCUCUUGCUCUCCCAUGUGUUUUUUAAAAUUAUAUUGUUAAGUAUUCAGUUAAUUUGACAGAAUCUCAUAAUUAUUUCAAAUUCUUCUAUUUGAGGGGUAAGCUUUGUUUUGCAUUUUUUUCCUAAAUAAAUCAGGUAAAGGCAAAACAUCCAGCUAUAAUUAAUGACAGCUGCUUUAGAGAUGCUCAAAGUUUUAUUUAGGUACAAAAGGAAGUGUUUCUUAAGCCAAGGUCCAUAUUUGAGGCCUGAAUAGCUAUUUUGAACAUAUUCCCUCUUUGCCUUCUAGGUUAUUUCUUCUCCUGUUAUUUGAGAUCUUCCAAUAAUUAGUUACAGUCAUCUGUUUUCCACUCUCUGUUCUUUAAUUCCAAAUUUCUACUUAGGCUGAUUUCUUGUUUUGUUUGCUAAAUUAUAGAGCUUUGUUAUCAUAAAUCAGAUGUUCCUUCCCCAUAGAAAGGGUUACUUUUUUAUCAAAUAACAGACCUCCUUUUUGGAUAAACUCAACCAUUUCAAGUGGUUUGACAAAUGUAGUCUAAAAAUAUCUAAACUAGCUCUAAGCCUACUAGCCUAGGUCUCACAAAUAAUGAAGCAGUGGAGCUGAGGCACACUGCUGUGACACAACUUUUUUGGGGGAUAUCCAAAGAGUAAAUCAGGUCUUUACAUGAUACCUGCAAUAACUGUAUGCCAAGUUCAGAGGUCAUUUUUGAAGCUAUUCUCUGGAGCUUUCAUAAGUUUGGUUUCUUAUGCUAUUUUAUGAGACUUCCUCAGAUUUUCUCCACUUGUGACAUCUUUCCUCUAUGCAGACUGAAACUGCCUGGGAUGUUUCCACAUGACUUUAUGGAACAAAGUGGCAAAUAAGCACCCAUCAUGAAAAAUUAUGCAAUCCACUAGUGAAUGCUCCUAGAAAUUUUGAAGGGUCUGCAACACCUGAAGUUUAGUCCAGAAAUAAUAAAGAGCUGGAUUCUUUUUUCAAAAAAAAAAAAAAAAAAAAAAAAGUGGUUUGGAGUAGAAAAAAAUGCCUAAAACACUUCAUUUACGGUCUAACAGCUAUAUAAAGAAGAAGUGCAGGAUAAUUAUUUCUUAACUUUUUCUAGUUUUCCUUUCCUAUAUAAGCCAUUUAUUUCUAACCUUUAAAAAUAAAAACAAAAGAUAAGUAGAAAUCUUAAUCAAAUGGGAUGUAAAUUGCCUGGCAGGAUGAGGCUCACACAAACAUGAAAUUCUUCUAAUCUGAUUUCCAUGGAAAUGUGGAAUUGUUGCAAAUUCUGUUACUGAGUCCCUUAAAAAAGCAGAAUGGUUAUUUCCAGGUUCCACACAGCACACAAGUAUUAAAUCAAAUUAUCAACACCCUCCCCUGGCCAGGCAACUGCAACUUAAUUCAAAUAAAUUAAUCUCUGACAGAGAUGGUGUGUUUCACCUUAA